ACCGAAUAGAUACCCUGGUAGUCCACGCCCUAAACGAUGCGAACUGGAUGUUGGGUACAUUACGGUACUCAGUGUCGAAAGCUAAACGCGUUAAGUUCGCCGCCUGGGGAGUACGGUCGCAAGACUGAAACUCAAAGGAAUUGACGGGGGCCCGGCACAAGCGGUGGAGUAUGUGGUUUAAUUCGAUGCAACGCGAAGAACCUUACCUGGCCUUGACAUCUGUCGAAUCCUGCAGAGAUGCGGGAGUGCCGCAAGGAACGACAAGACAGGUGCUGCAUGGCUGUCGUCAGCUCGUGUCGUGAGAUGUUGGGUUAAGUUCCCGCAACGAGCGCAACCCUUGUCCCUAGUUGCCAGCACAUCAUGG
rnacentral:rRNA from 1 species